rnacentral:rRNA from 1 species
CCUACGGGGGGCAGCAGUGGGGAAUAUUGGACAAUGGGGGCAACCCUGAUCCAGCCAUGCCGCGUGUGUGAAGAAGGCCCUCGGGUUGUAAAGCACUUUCAGUGAGGAAGAACGCCUGGUGGUUAAUACCCAUCAGGAAAGACAUCACUCACAGAAGAAGCACCGGCUAACUCCGUGCCAGCAGCCGCGGUAAUACGGAGGGUGCGAGCGUUAAUCGGAAUUACUGGGCGUAAAGCGCGCGUAGGUGGCUUGAUAAGCCGGUUGUGAAAGCCCCGGGCUCAACCUGGGAACGGCAUCCGGAACUGUCAAGCUAGAGUGCAGGAGAGGAAGGUAGAAUUCCCGGUGUAGCGGUGAAAUGCGUAGAGAUCGGGAGGAAUACCAGUGGCGAAGGCGGCCUUCUGGACUGACACUGACACUGAGGUGCGAAAGCGUGGGUAGCGAACAGGAUUAGAUACCCGUGUAGUC